rnacentral:misc_RNA from 1 species
GCAAAGCAUGUGUGGUUAUGGAUGAUGAGCUGAAUAUUUUACCAAUUUCAUCUCAUAUACGGUCAAUUACUCCAGUUCCAGUUAAAGAGGACUCUGAAGGUCUUUCAGAAGCAGAACGAGACCUGAAGAAUUUGAAGGAUCAACUGCAUGAUGAUUUUCCCGUUGGUCCUCUAAUAAAAAAGUGUUGCACACUAGAUCAGGGAAAAGCUGUCAUCACAUUUCUUGAUGCAAUUUUGGAUAAGACACUACGUAGUACACUUGCUUUACUUGCUGCUCGUGGCCGUGGAAAGUCUGCUGCACUUGGUUUAGCAGUUGCUGGAGCUAUUGCAGCUGGGUAUUCAAAUAUAUUUGUAACUGCACCCAGCCCUGAAAACCUGAAAACUUUGUUUGAGUUCAUCUGCAAGGGUUUUGAUGCACUUGAAUAUAAGGAACAUAUUGAUUAUGAUAUUGUGAAAAGUGCAAAUCCUGAGUUCAAGAAAGCAACUGUGCGGAUCAAUAUCUAUAAACGGCACAGACAAACGAUUCAGUACAUACAGCCACAUGAACAUGAAAAGCUCUCCCAAGUGGAACUACUGGUAGUUGAUGAGGCUGCUGCCAUUCCAUUGCCAGUUGUGAAGUCCCUGCUGGGUCCAUACUUGGUCUUCCUUUCAUCUACUGUGAAUGGCUAUGAAGGCACUGGUCGUUCUUUGUCGCUAAAACUUCUGCAGCAACUGGAAGAACAAAGCCACAUGACUGCCAAGAAUGUGGAGGGUUCUCUUUCUGGUCGUCUUUUCAAAAAGAUAGAGCUUAACGAGUCUAUCAGAUAUGCUUCUGCUGAUCCAAUUGAAUCCUGGCUUAAUGCUUUACUUUGCUUGGAUGUUACAAAUUCCAUACCUAGUAUCAGCAGAUUACCUCCACCCAGUGAGUGUGAUCUCUAUUAUGUUAAUCGGGAUACGCUUUUUUCCUAUCACAAAGACAGUGAGUUGUUUUUGCAGCGAAUGAUGGCAUUAUAUGUUGCAUCUCACUAUAAAAAUUCUCCUAAUGAUUUACAACUAAUGGCUGAUGCUCCUGCGCAUCAUUUGUUUGUGUUACUUGGCCCUGUUGAUGAGUCAGAAAAUAAACUUCCUGACAUCUUAUGUGUCAUUCAGGUCAGUCUUGAAGGCCAGAUUUCUCGUAAAUCUGCAGUCAAAAGCUUAAGUGAUGGCCAUCAACCAUUUGGUGAUCAAAUUCCUUGGAAAUUCUGUGAGCAAUUCCGGGACACAGUUUUCCCCAGCCUUUCGGGUGCUCGUAUCGUACGCAUUGCCACCCAUCCAAGUGCCAUGAAGCUUGGUUAUGGUUCUGCCGCAAUGGAACUUUUAACAAGGUACUAUGAAGGACAGUUUACUCCUAUUUCUGAAGUGGAUUUUGAAACCAAUGUGGACUCUCCCCAAACUAGAGUUACAGAAGCUGCAGAGAAGGUUUCCUUGCUAGAAGAAAAUAUAAAACCAAGGACAGACCUUCCACAUUUGCUAGUACAUCUUCGUGAACGACGAUCUGAAAAGCUCCACUACCUUGGUGUAUCUUUUGGGCUUACUUUGGAGCUGUUUCGCUUUUGGAGGAAACAUAAAUUUGCCCCAUUCUACAUUGGCCAAAUUCCAAGUACUGUAACUGGUGAGCACACAUGUAUGGUCCUGAAACCAUUAAACAGUGAUGAUAUUGAAGUCAGCGGAUCAGAUAAUUGGGGAUUUUUUGGUCCAUUUUACCAAGAUUUCAGGCUAAGGUUUUCUAGGUUGCUGGAAUCUAGUUUCCGGACAAUGGAAUAUAAGCUUGCUAUGAGUGUCCUUGAUCCCAAGAUCAACUAUGCGGAUACAGAUGUAGAAACUACAUUAUCCACCCCAGAAGGAUUUUUGAGGUCACUUAGAUUUGAUCUAUCACCAUAUGAUAUGGAACGGCUCAGAGUA